rnacentral:rRNA from 1 species
UACAGAGGUCUCAAGCGUUGUUCGGAUUCAUUGGGCGUAAAGGGUGCGUAGGUGGCGAGGCAAGUCAGAUGUGAAAUCCCCGGGGCUCAACCCCGGAGCUGCAUUUUGAAACUGCCUUGCUCGAGUACUGGAGAGGAGACUGGAAUUUACGGUGUAGCAGUGAAAAUGCGUAGAGAUCAUGAGGAAAGACCAGUGGCGAAAGGCGGGGUCUCUGGACAGUUCCUGACACUGAGACACG